GGAGCGGUGUCCGAGCGGUUUAAGGAGGCGGUCUUGAAAACCGUUGUACCGAAAGGUACCGGGGGUUCGAAUCCCCCCUGCUCCG
rnacentral:tRNA from 1 species